rnacentral:lncRNA from 1 species
CUUAUUGAUUUUUGCUAUCAAAUCUCCUCAGGAAAAAGGUAUUUAUAGAAUGUCUAGCUUUGAGCUCUGGUGUCCAGCUGGGCUCUUCCCAUCCUGCUUCUUGUCACAGUGAGUGGAGUCAUGGUCUGUAUCAGGACACUGUAUGACCCAUUUCUAUCUGUGCUCCUGAAAGCCCUCUGCAAAAACUGAAGGUGUUUUAGGAAGAUCAUUGGAGAUCCAAAGUGACCUGAAGAUGAGGUUGUCUGACAAGUGUUCCUGAGAGGCUCUUUCAGUCUUCAGGGAUUCUCUUACCCAUGACCACGGCACAACUGGGGUAUGCCAUAGAUUUACCAAGUGGGACGUGACUCUUAUCCAUUCUCAGUACUGUGGUGAUGAAAUCAUCAAGGUUUGUUUCCUGUGCGAAUCCCUUUCAGCAAAGGGUCAGUGAAACGCGCAACAGCCAUGGUCUAAAACUUAAUGCAGAGUGAAGAUGAAAAAACGUCCUGCAACAUGAGAAUCCCAAUUUGAUUUCUGAAGAACUUCUGAGAAAGUAAGUACAUUCCUAUUGUCCUUACUAGUCUAAUAAUUAAGUUUGGCUAUGGGAUACAAUCUCUUUCUAUUUUAGUUUACAUGUAAUUUAAGAAAUAAAUACGCAAAGUGGUCAAGAAAUAUUCCUGAUGGCUGGUGUCUCACCAGUGUGAGAGCGAUUGAAUACCCUGGGGGUCCUUGCACAGAAAUGUCUGUCUCACACAGAUGUUCAGAAAGAACUGGCUUCUCUGGGCAGCAGAGAGUGAUUUUAGCAGGGGAGUGAAAGGCUGUGGAAGGAGGCCUGAUUUACAUUUUAAUUCUUAGAGCUGGUGGUGCCAGCUCAGGAUUGAUGGAAAUCUUGCCCUCAUGAUGCUAUGCUCUGUGGAAGGACGAUUCAGAGAAGCACUAAGUGUACAAUGCAUUGUUUGUUUGAGAAGUAGCAGGGUAUCUAUUUCCAGUCUUCUAAUACCUUGACCUUGGAGUUUGUUCGAAAUUAAAUAGUCUUGUCUAACCAGCUAGCCAUUGAAGCAAAAGAGCUGUUGUUAUAAAGAGAGUGGGCAAGGGAAGAGCAGACAGACCGGGUAACUUCUAGGCAAUAUUGAGAGAGCACAAUGAUUCCCUGCAGGCACAGCACCUCUUUCUUCUGCACGGUCUGCAAGAUAAAAUGAUUUAAGCUGAGACACGUUUUAGAGCACCUGAGUUAGUUGACUGCAAAGCAGGAGCUGUUCUAUUAAUGUCCAUUCCUGCUGUUCAGCUUUUGAGGUUUUUAUCUGUUGUUAGUACACUCGAAGCCUUCUUUUAAAUAUUGGAAAUGCUCUAGGUUAUCUCUGUCUCACCUAACUGGGAUCGGCUUUCCCUUGUGGAAAGAGCAAGGAGGGGGGUAGAGAAAUAGCAACCUGCACUUUUCCCUCCCACCUUUAGGAGCUCAUUCUCCCCUCAGCAGGCAUGGUACU